rnacentral:rRNA from 1 species
CGGCUCAGUAACGCGUAGUCAAUCUACCCUAUGGACGGGAAUAACCUCGGGAAACUGAGAAUAAUGCCCGAUAGAACAUUAUGCCUGGAAUGGUUUAUGUUUCAAAUGAUUUAUCGCCAUAGGAUGGGACUGCGGCCUAUCAGUUUGUUGGUGAGGUAAUGGCCCACCAAGACUAUUACAGGUACGGGCUCUGAGAGGAGUAGCCCGGAGAUGGGUACUGAGACACGGACCCAGGCCCUAUGGGGCGCAGCAGGCGAGAAAACUUUGCAAUGUGCGAAAGCACGACAAGGUUAAUCCGAGUGGUUUCUGCUAAAGAAACCUUUUGUCAGUCCUAGAAACACUAACGAAUAAGGGGUGGGCAAGUUCUGGUGUCAGCCGCCGCGGUAAAACCAGCACCUCAAGUGGUCAGGAUGAUUAUUGGGCCUAAAGCAUCCGUAGCUCGUUUUGUAAGUUUUCGGUUAAAUCCAUGCGCUUAACGUAUGGGCUGCCGGGAAUACUGCAUAACUAGGAAGUGGGAGAGGUAGACGGUACUCGGUAGGAAGGGGUAAAAUCCUUUGAUCUAUUGAUGACCACCUGUGGCGAAGGCGGUCUACCAGAACACGUUCGACGGUGAGGGAUGAAAGCUGGGGGAGCAAACCGGAUUAGAUACCCGGGUAGUCCCAGCUGUAAACUAUGCAAACUCAGUGAUGCAUUGGCUUAUGGCCAAUGCAGUGCUGCAGGGAAGCCGUUAAGUUUGCCGCCUGGGAAGUACGUACGCAAGUAUGAAACUUAAAGGAAUUGGCGGGGGAGCACCACAAGGGGUGAAGCCUGCGGUUCAAUUGGAUUCAACGCCGGGAAGGGCGAAUUCGUUUAAAC